rnacentral:tRNA from 1 species
GCAGUGGUGGCUCAGCGGUAAAGUCCUCCCCUUCCGCGUGGGAGACCUGGGUUCGGUUCCCGGCCAAGGCA